rnacentral:rRNA from 1 species
GAGUUUGAUCCUGGCUCAGAUUGAACGCUGGCGGCAUGCCUUACACAUGCAAGUCGAACGGCAGCACGGGAGCUUGCUCCUGGUGGCGAGUGGCGAACGGGUGAGUAAUGCAUCGGAACGUAUCCUGGAGUGGGGGAUAACGUAGCGAAAGUUACGCUAAUACCGCAUAUUCUGUGAGCAGGAAAGCGGGGGACCUUCGGGCCUCGCGCUCUUGGAGCGGCCGAUGUCGGAUUAGCUAGUUGGUGAGGUAAAGGACUCACCAAGGCGACGAUCCGUAGCAGGUCUGAGAGGAUGAUCUGCCACACUGGAACUGAGACACGGUCCAGACUCCUACGGAGGCAGCAGUGGGGAAUUUUGGACAAUAGGGGCGAACCCUCGAUCCAGCCAUGCCGCCGUGAGUG